UGAAACAUAUUCCUCUAGCUUUGGUCUUUUUUUAAAAGAAUUGGUUAUAAACAUUGAAUAUUAUAAAAGUGUUUUUCUGAUACUUGUUGAAGUGAUAAACCUUAGGAAUGUACUUUACAUAACAACAUACUACCUGAUAACAACUUAUGAAAUGAAUGCUGUGUGAACAUUACUUUCCUAGAUUAAAUAAUUCUUAUCUAGGCAAACAAUUUAAAGCAAGUUUAGAAAUUGCUCAUGCAAUUUUUUAAGGGCCCAAGCUGAUAGUAUCACAAACAAGAAAUUCAAACAUCUAGUAAGUAGUUACACAGUGUUGAAAUAUUUUAGCAAUGCAAAUGCAGUGUUCUUCAAUUUCACCUCAAAGGCAGACGUGCAUCUUUCAGAGGAUAGGGUCUUAAAACAACUUCCAAACACAGAGGGAUGAGGAGUCACGAGCCAUUACUAUCUCAGGUUCCUCAGUGGGUAGAGGAGCUAAUUUUCAUGUAGUUCCUGGGAGGCCCGUCUUCGUGUUGGAGGAAGCUCAGAUCCCAAAGAACAAGGUUUGGCUGGGAUUAACACUGUCACCUGCUCUUAAUGCUUUCAUGCCGUCAAGACGGGCCACGGCAACAGUGGGGUUCUUGGAAGAAACACAGAAACAGCCAUGCACUGAGGCUCCAUGGGGGAGGGGCAUAAAAUGCAAUCCAAGAAGACAUGUUAUGGAGGUACAGAGAUUAGAACUCUCCUCAUAUAGUUUCAUUCAUGGACUCUGUUCAGACAGCAGCUGAAUCAUAUUCCAUAAUGCAUGGGUAACCAUUUUCUGCGGAAUGAUGUUCAGUUUGUUUCCACUGAUUGACUACCAGGAAUGGGGAAGCAGCGAGCAUGACCGAGUAGCCGUCUGUGCACAGAGAGGUUGAGUUCACUGAGAACAUACCAGGAAAUGGUAUAGGUUUUUAACUUCACUAUUGCUCAAGAAUUUGAUGAAUGGAUGAUUUUUGGUAUAGAUUCCUCCACAUCUCCUCUUCCCAAGAUUCCACUGGGUCCUUGCAAACAACAGAGCAACUCACUGAGACACCAGUGUCCUGGAGAGACCAGAAUCGAAGAAGCUUAUGAAUGAUUUGACACGGACGCCGUGUGUCUUUCCGUGCCGUGCUCAGGACGUGGGUACUUAGUCUGGCAGUAAAGCAGUGCACGCCAUUUCAGUCAUUCCACUGGUCGAGCCUGCAUUGUCCGCAGGAGGGGAAAAUGAGUUUUCUCUUCGGUUUCAGCUUUGGGUAGACGAGUGGGAAAAGAUAACAACUUCGGACUAUGCAUGUUGCUCGCAGUAGUACAGUAAGGGAGCAAGCAGCAGCGAUAAAUAAUAGAUUGUAAAAUGCAAAUCUGGGGAGAAGAACUUUGCACCAGGCUUUCAUUUUAAGUAGCUCAUAAGGCUCUGAGGUAUGCAGUGCUCGGCAUCUUGAGCAAGAAUGACAAAUCACCUAAUUGUCAAUAUAUUACAUACAGGGGGGAGACAAGGCGGGGGAGACAAAUAGAUGCAAUCUAAGAGAAAACAAAACAAAACCUUGAGUAGAAAAAUAAGCUGCCAAGCAGAGAAUUCUAUUUCCUCAGCUUGAUGUAAGCAAAUUCAGUUAUUAAUAAUUGAUUUAUUAAAAGAAACAUACAGGCCUUUCAUUUGACUUCCAUUAAAUUAAGGCACAUUAUAUUUAAACAACAGGUACAGCAUUGCCAACCGGUGGGCUUCAUAGACUAGAAGUUAAAUUUUCUAGCAAAGCUCCUCUUGACUUGUCUUUUGAGCUUUUAUAAUUUAUUUUUAAAAUCCCAUAAGAGUACACAACUGUUAGAGAAAUGCAUUGUUCACUUUUUUUGUGCACGAGCUUUCUACUUUUUCUCAUUAAAUUAUUAUCAGCAUAAUCUUUAUUAAUUUUAGCAUAAUGAGUAGCGUUUUGGCAGACUAUCAGAAGGCAAGACUCCUAAGCGUCAGGCUUAGAGAACUUACAGGAGAGAAGGCACAGCAAGUUAAGUGAUAACUCCCCAGGCUGCAGCCACUAGAAACACCCGAUAUCCUUUUUUAUCAAAAGGAAGUGCGUUAGUAGAUUUUGAAACUCUCUUCUUCAAAAGUGAAGGCAAGAGUGAAUAACCCAAACAGGGAAACAAAGCUUCAUGCAUUGCAGUGUAACAGGCUUUGGCAUGCUAAACAAAGCAUUCAGAGACAGAACGCCCAGGCACAGCUAAUGGAGAGUGAGAACAUUCUUAAAUUCAAAGCAGAUGGCAGUGACGUUUUCCUGAAACGUUGGCGGAAGCAACCUCUUCCUCGGUAGACUUAACGAGUGUUUUGCUCUUUGAAGUAUGAACUUUGAACAGUUCCAGAGACAGUUGAAAUUUUCUGUUUUGUUCACAAGAAAUAGCAAUACAGUCAUUUCAUUGCAGAGGAGAUCGGGAGAAGGACAACUGGGCACAAGGAGACCACGAAGUCAGAAUGGUGCAUGAAUGACUUUGAGGAAAAGAAAAGAAACUGCCUCUGAAGAUGCUUUCAUGGGCUAAGUCACCAGGAUUCAAAGUAGAAUCUGGAAGCCAUUUGUUCAUGCUCUCACAGUUUGCACUCUGUGUCCUGGGAAGGACCACUAUUUAAAAUCUGUGACCACUGCAUGAUUAUUAAUUCAUCCCUCAUUUACAAAGAUCCAAUCAGCAUGGGAUACAAUGACAUCCUUCAUUUUCCUAAGAGGCAGAAAGUGCGAAACUGGACCAGGCUGGUCCUUCCUUCCUCCCUACUAAGCACACUCUGUGUUCGUGAUGAAACCUGCAUUUCCAGACUUGAAAAUACUCUUCCUUCCUCUACCACUUUUCUUUCUUUUCUUCAUUUCCCCUCUUUCUUUUCAUCCUUCCCUUCUUUCUUUUUUCUCCUCUCUUUUUUCAUCUAGUUCUCUUUUUCUCGCCCAACUUGUUUUCAAAACAAAUUUUUGCUGGUAGAUGAAAGAGUCAACCCUCAUGAGUAUCACCUAGCCCUUCUGAUUAUUCAGCAGGUUGGGCAAGGGGAAGCCACUGCUCCUUUGCGCCAUGCCAAGAUCAGUGUACAUGCUUUGACUUCUGUCAAGUGUAUGUGAACAUGUUUGGAGUUCUAGCUUUCCGGUAGAAGUUUAAUCAUUCUGGGUUCAGCUCCUAUUGAUUUCAUUUGAAUAACUUUACUCAUUGUUAUGGAUCUACAACUGAUCGAAUUAGUUUCUAACUGAUGAAAUUCCAGUAGGUUAUGGUUCAAAAAUAACACUCGUUUACUAUGUUCCUAUAUUAAGACGUUCUUUUAUUGGGAUUUGAUAGAGGUAUUACACGGAAAAGAUUUUGGCUUCAGAAAUGAGAGUUAACAUAGUGCUAAUUUUAGGAUAUGUUUUAUAGCACUAUAAAAAGAAUUAAAAUAAUAACAUUUAAGACCUUUCAUACAUUUAUGAGCAUGUUAAUACACAUUCUCUCCUUUGACACUAUACUUCUGCAUUAGUUACUUUUCCGUUGACUGUGAUAAAACAUCAUGAUAAAAAGUGACUUCAGGAGGCUUCUCUGAUAGUGUUUGAGCAAGAAACUGAUCCACAAGUCUAGUGGAAGGUUCCUCCUGCAGCAGAUGGGAACAAACAGAGAGACCCAUAGCCAGACAUGCACAGUGAGGGAUCUUGGAACACACAGCUUUAAAUGGAAUGUUUCCAUCAAAUUCAUCCCAUCCGGGCUCAGGGAAGCCCUCAGGAGUUAGGAAGCAUGUAAGAAUGAAAAGGAAUGGAGGAGACCAAGAGCAUAAGGCCCUCUAAACCAUAUGACCAAAGCUCAAAUGAACUCAUAGAGACUGAAGCAGCACGCACAGGGUCUGCACCAGGUCCUCUGUGUAUAUAAUAUAGCUUCUGGUUUGGUAUUUUUGAGGGAUUCUUGAGUCUUUGAAUGAGUGUGUCUCUGAUUCUUGUAUCUUCUCUUGGACUCUUUUCCUUAAUUCUUUUCCAAUUCUGAAGUGUUAGUUUUUGUGGGAUUUUUUGUUAUAUUUUAUUUUAAUAUAUGUUAUUAUCCCUUAAACAAGUGUUUUCUAAUAAAAAACUGAGAAGGUGGGGUUUGGAUGGGAGGGGAGGAAGAACUGAAAGGAAAAGAGGGAGGGAAAUCAAGGUCAUUUAAGAUUUAUAAUCAAAACAUAUUAUUUGAGGGAAAAUUUAUUUUCAAUAUAAGAAAAAGAACAAAUAACAGUUGUGUCAUGAAGGCACAUUUUUUCAGUGGAAAAACUCAUAAGGGACUAUCUUAACUUCUUUGUUUUUAUAGAAAUUUUCUUGUUUCAUUCACGUAAACAAAUUGAUAUAUUAACAGCACAUAGACAAAAAGUGACUUAAGGAAGAAAAAAUUUGUAUUGUCUCGUGAUUCCAGAGAGAUGAGAGACCUUCAUGUCAGGAUGCCUAUAGCACCGAGUAGCACACAUGUCAGUAGGAGCAAAAUGAUGAGCAAACUGGAGAGAGCAAACUGGAAGUGAAGCCAGACCAUGAACUUUCAAAGCCCACCCACAGGAUGUCCUUCUUCUUCCUGCAAGACUGAGAAACGUGCGCGCGCGCACGCGCACACACACACACACACACACACACACACACACACACACACACACACAACCACUACCACCACCACUACCACCACCGAACAGUGCUAACGACUAAGUACCACAUCUUCACUGGGUUUAUGGGAGUCAUUCUCAUUCAAACCACCAUACACUAAAUUGACAGAUAAGUUAAACUUAUUUUAAUGUUUCAUAUUUUACUAAUCUCAAUUUAUUUAUAGUAAAACAAUAAAUAUAUGUUCUCAAUACGAAAAUAGUGAUACAUAUUGGAGUUGAUAUCUUUAUCUUGAUUUGAACAGAAUACAAUGCAUACUUGCACAGAGAUAUCAUUUGGGACAUUUCAUAGGAUACUAAAAAUAAGUGUGAUUUCUAUGCACCAAAAGUUAAAAACAAAAAAGAGAAAAAUCAGGGCAAUAUAACAUGAAGUUAGCUUCCACCAUGCCUCUGGUCAAGAGUCCUCUAAGUAGGAAAUUCUUUACAACAUGUUGUUGUGGUCAUACCAACCUGAACAAGCCUGAUCUCAACUUUAUAUCAUGAACUCCUGUCACCUCAGAUCUCUUUCCAAGGCAAAUUCUUAGAAAAUAGUAGUUUUAGAGCAUGACUAGUCUUUUCUAAUGAAGUUUUUGCUAUAGACCAUUGAACUAAAGUUUACUUAUGUCCCACACAAUUGUAUCAUUUUUAUCGAAUAAUAGUACUUUUAUAGCGUUGACUUUCUUCUCUUUAAUUGAAAAGCGGCAAGUAUGAACGAUAUACCUAGGAAACUGCAAAUGGAUGUUCUCUAGGGACAAAUGACAGCUCAGGACUCACAGCUGUCUGCCUCCUCUCUGAGGACAGCGAUGCAGCUGUAUUCAUCCCUACCAUGAGGCAAUGCAGAGCUCUUCAUACCAUGAGUGGUGCUGGAUAUGCAGAAGGUUCUGCAACUGGGAGGUGAAUAGGCUUGAGUGAACUGCACUUUCCAAUGGAUGAAAAGGAAAGAAUUCACACACUUAAAGUCCUUCAUCCUUCUCAAACACUCAUUAAGUGUAAUCUAACCAGCUCUCCAAGGUUGUCGUAAAAUGAGCAAAGAUCCUCCUCCAUCCCAGAUAAAGAUAGCUAUUUCAGUUUUCUUCAGACAGCUUUAGAAUAUUUUUACUCAAUAAAUGUUAUGGGGAAGUGAAAAUGAAGAUGAAUCUGUUUUCUUUCCCUCAAAGCUAUAACAAAUAGUGCCAUUUUUCUAUUAGCCUGUGUUAAAUUGCCUAUUAGAAGUCUAAGAGAGUGUUGAUCAGAUUGGGGAAUUAUGGAAGUGACAGCAAAAAGGAAUUAGAAUCUCAUCUAAACAACGCUUUCACUUUCCUCUCAAUCUAUUUAAUUUUCUUUGUGAUACUAAAUCUUAACCGAGCACCAAUCCCUUCCUUUUAAUCCCAGACAUCUGUUUUUCUGGUUGUCUAAGUAUAUUAUAUACAGUCCAUUGUUUAAUAAGGAAAUGAUGAAAGUGUUAUUGAAGACUCAAUAUUUUGCACAAGAGACAUAAAAACCUCUGUUGCUUUAACCCAGCACAAGAUGUCAUUCUUUCCAUUGCCCCCUGUUGCAAGCUGGCAUUCCCGUUUGUUUUAUGGAUGGAAAGGACUGAGGAAUUCUAGGUUAUUUGUGCAGAGACAACGGUCUUUUUAGCUUGAUUUCUCUUGUCAGAAUUACAGCGUGAUCACAGUGUAUGUCAGAUUCCCCAUCUGAGCUAGACAGGAAGGACACAUGGAUGUGGAAAGAUCAGAAAGCAUCUUGACACAUCUGUCCUCAUGAGGUGUCAACUUAGGAAGUAAUGAAAAAAAUAUGUUAGUUGCCUCAACAAAACAAUCAAGCAGAGGUCAGAGAGGACAGAGAAAGUGAAAAACAUUUCCCAUCAACCGUUCUUACCUCAAGUGAAUGAAGUUCUAGAAAAAAAGAGGAAAACAGCCCUGACCCUAACUGUUCCAUAACAGAGAUGAUCUGAGAAAUCCAAGAGCCGAGCCAGUGCAAAGCACCAGCAUAGAAAAAUAAUACAUUUUCUCCUUUUAACUAUGAAAAAAAUAUGUGUAUGAGUUACCUUAACCAUGGCUCAAAUUGGUAUUUUGAAUAUGUCAAAAUGAUAGGAGACCUUUGCAUUCAUAUGCAUUUUGAUUUUAAUGAUCGUGGAAUUGUCUUAAUGGCCCAAGCAAGGGUCCAAGGUCUGGAUCUGGCACAACUGGGCAUCAAAGGACAGUGUUGGGUAGAGAAAGCCCUGUAAUUGGACAACAGAGGCGAUAUGGUAGAGCUGUAGUGCAUCUUUGGAUAUGAAUGUGUGAAAAUGAAACAAUAUGCACAUCAGUUUGUAUCUGACUCAUGGCUUAGAUCAUCAGCUAAGUAUUUGACCCUGAUUUUCCUGGGGACGCACACUGAAGAUGGAGCCACUUUGCCCCUAAACAUCUGAUGUUUUCUUAAGCAAUGUUGGUUUUCAGUAUCCACUCACUCAGAAGGGUCUUGCUACUCAGACAAUGCUCCAUCAGACAAGCAUCAGUAAGUAGCCUCUUUGGGAUGAAGACUCUUGAAAUAUUAUACUGUUAAGAUGCAGCAUAGACUAGGUCUGUGGAAAUUAGUUCUUAGGUGAGUUACAGGUAGUCUAAUUUU
rnacentral:sRNA from 1 species